GCGAUAGAGGUGCGAAACGCAUCAGUACCGCGUAGCAGGCAGCCGAUUGCCGUAGGACGCGGGAAAGGGCGUUUUGCCGAAGACCGGGGUAUAUCGGCUGUACCGUGGUCUGGGGGCGUUUUGGCGAAAGCCGCGCCACUGUCAUCAGAACUUGGUGGAGUGCUAUCG
rnacentral:ncRNA from 1 species